rnacentral:rRNA from 1 species
AUUGAACGCUGGCGGCAGGCCUAACACAUGCAAGUCGAACGAGUGGCGGACGGGUGAGUAAUGUCUGGGAAACUGCCUGAUGGAGGGGGAUAACUACUGGAAACGGUAGCUAAUACCGCAUACCAUCGGAUGUGCCCAGAUGGGAUUAGCUUGUUGGUGGGGUAACGGCGCACAAAGGCGACGAUCCCUAGCUGGUCUGAGAGGAUGACCAGCCACACUGGAACGGAGACACGGUCCAGCAGCCUACGGGAGGCAGCAGUGGUGAAUAUGGCACAAUGGGCGCAAGCCUGAUGCAGCCAUGCCGCGGGUAUGAAGAAGGCCUUCGGGUUGUAAAGUACUUUCAGCGGGGAGGCGUUACCCGCAGAAGAAGCACCGGCUAACUCCGUGCCAGCCGCCGCGGUAAUAC